GCGGGAGUAACUCAGCUGGCAGAGUGUCUGCUUCCCAAGCAGAAUGUCGCGGGUUCGAAUCCCGUCUCCCGCU
rfam:Chloroflexi bacterium CSP1-4 XT10_C0003, whole genome shotgun sequence.